rnacentral:rRNA from 1 species
AUUGAACGCUGGCGGCAUGCCUUACACAUGCAAGUCGAACGGCAGCGCGGACUUCGGUCUGGCGGCGAGUGGCGAACGGGUGAGUAAUACAUCGGAACGUACCCUGUUGUGGGGGAUAACUAGUCGAAAGAUUAGCUAAUACCGCAUACGACCUGAGGGUGAAAGUGGGGGACCGCAAGGCCUCACGCAGCAGGAGCGGCCGAUGUCUGAUUAGCUAGUUGGUGGGGUAAAGGCCCACCAAGGCGACGAUCAGUAGCUGGGCUGAGAGGACGAUCAGCCACACUGGGACUGAGACACGGCCCAGACUCCUACGGGAGGCAGCAGUGGGGAAUUAUGGACAAUGGGGGCAACCCUGAUCCAGCAAUGCCGCGUGUGUGAAGAAGGCCUUCGGGUUGUAAAGCACUUUUGUCCGGAAAGAAAUCGCGCUGGUUAAUACCUGGCGUGGAUGACGGUACCGGAAGAAUAAGCACCGGCUAACUACGUGCCAGCCGCCGCAGUAA